AAAAGCCCCUUGUUGCUUGUAAAAAUCAAACAAGCUCCUUGUUGGAAAACAGCUCUUUUCAGAGGCAGUACAGCUGCAGAUGAUGCUGUAGCCACACUACUCAGCCAGAGUACCUACCAUGGACCAGCUUUCAGCAGUGCCAGCAGGUAGUCAAAGAUGCAAGGUUUACAGGCCUGUUUGGAUCAGCUCCUUUUCAAAGGUUCAGAGGCACGGAUUGCAUCGAAUGGCCUGGAACACCUGGGUGUAACCUCGAGUUUGUCUCAUCAAGGUGAUUUGAUUGGUCUUGUAGCAACUCACACCUGCAAAAGCAGCCUUUAUAUCUUCCUCAAGAUAAUUAAAUACAGAUUCAAGCAGAGG
rnacentral:lncRNA from 1 species